UACGUAGGGGGCAAGCGUUGUCCGGAUUUAUUGGGCGUAAAGAGCGUGUAGGCGGUCAGGUAGGUCCGUUGUGAAAACUCGAGGCUCAACCUCCAGCCUGCAGUGGGUACGGGCAGACUAGAGUGCGGUAGGGGAGAUUGGAAUUCCUGGUGUAGCGGUGGAAUGCGCAGAUAUCAGGAGGAACACCGAUGGCGAAGGCAGAUCUCUGGGCCGUAACUGACGCUGAGGAGCGAAAGCGUGGGGAGCGAACAGG
rnacentral:rRNA from 1 species